rnacentral:rRNA from 1 species
UACGUAGGGUGCGAGCGUUGUCCGGAAUUAUUGGGCGUAAAGAGCUUGUAGGCGGUUUGUCGCGUCUGCCGUGAAAUUUCGAGGCUCAACCUCGAACUUGCGGUGGGUACGGGCAGACUAGAGUGUGGUAGGGGAGACUGGAAUUCCUGGUGUAGCGGUGAAAUGCGCAGAUAUCAGGAGGAACACCCGUGGCUAAGGCGGCUCUCUAGUACGGUACUGACGCUGAGACGCGAAAGCGUGGGGAGCGAACAGG